rnacentral:rRNA from 1 species
CCUACGGGGGGCAGCAGUGGGGAAUAUUGGACAAUGGGGGGAACCCUGAUCCAGCCAUGCCGCGUGUGUGAAGAAGGCCCUCGGGUUGUAAAGCACUUUCAGUGAGGAAGAACGCCUGGUGGUUAAUACCCAUCAGGAAAGACAUCACUCACAGAAGAAGCACCGGCUAACUCCGUGCCAGCAGCCGCGGUAAUACGGAGGGUGCGAGCAUUAAUCGGAAUUACUGGGCGUAAAGCGCGCGUAGGUGGCUUGAUAAGCCGGUUGUGAAAGCCCCGGGCUCAACCUGGGAACGGCAUCCGGAACUGUCAAGCUAGAGUGCAGGAGAGGAAGGUAGAAUUCCCGGUGUAGCGGUGAAAUGCGUAGAGAUCGGGAGGAAUACCAGUGGCGAAGGCGGCCUUCUGGACUGACACUGACACUGAGGUGCGAAAGCGUGGGUAGCAAACAGGAUUAGAUACCCCGGUAGUC